CAAAACUAAACUAUUAAUCACUAUCAAAUAAUUUUAGUAUUUCAUAUUGGCACAUUCCCAGACCAAGAGUUGUUAAAAAAAGAAAAGUAAUAUAACAAAUAUUGCAAUAAAAAUCAAUUUUCAAAUUUGUUACCGAGAAAUUGACGCAUUGAUUGAAUUGGUGUAACUAUUAUUUUUAACUAAUUGUAUUGUUUGAAACACCAAAAUGUUAAUAUUUUGAAUAUUAAGGUGGUCCAUCAUUUCCCUCAACCACCUUCUCAUAACUACCCAUUGUAGUAACCGUUCAUAUUCCAUAACUUCUUUGAUGGGAAGAAGUUUAUAAAUGAAAAAGAUUGGUAUUGGUUCCCAAGUCCGGAUUUUCACGAAUAUACACCAUCACAGAGAAUUCUUGAAGACUUGGAAACACCAAAUACAAUUCGAAAUUCUGCAAUUUAAACGUCAAUGGCUGGAGUUAUGGAACCUGCUAAUUUUUGUGACGUUAAUUGUGAUAUUCCCGAACUAAAUGGGUGAUAAAUGUAAAGUCUAGAAGGAGAGGAUUCUUCUUCAUUUGGGGUGGAUGGACAUUGAUUAUACCAUUAGGAAAGACGAACCAAAAAUCACUCCAACCAGCAUUCGAGAUGAAAUUACUCUUUAUGAACGAUUGGAGCGAUCUAAUCGCCUCAGUAUGAUAUUCAUAAAGACUGAGAUUUCUGCUAGUAUUCGUGGUUCCGUCGAAGAGCAUAAAAAUGUUAAGGCAUUGUUGAAGGCUAUUGAUGAAUAGUUUGAGACUUCAUAUAAAGCACUUGCCAGUAUCGUGAUUAUGAAGUUUUCAUCCAUGAGGAUCACUACUGUAAGAGGUGUGCGUGAGCACAUCAUGCAAAUGAGGGACAUUGCGGCUCAAUUGAAAACUCUUGAUGUUGAUAUCUCUGAGUCUUUCCUUGUUCACUAUACUCUAAACACUCUUCCACAUUAGUAUGAACCCUUCAAGAUAUCCCAUAACACACAUAAGGAUAAGUGGUCAAUUAAUGAACUUUUGGUCAUGUUGUUCACGAAGAAUGGAGAUUGACAAUGAAAAUGGAUGAAAGUGCAUUGAUGGCGACACAAUGAAAGGACAAAAACCAAGCCAAAAAAGAAGGAAAAAGGUAAAAUACCACCUCAAGGUGGAAUUAAAAAGGAAUCCAAGUGUUUCUUCUGUAAAAAAAAGGGACAUAUGAAGAAAGAUUGCACCAAGUUCUAGAAAUGACUUGAGAAGAAAGGGUAUGCAAAACCUAAGAAAAUCAGUGGAAAGUGAGAGGUGCAUUUAUUCAGGAAACAAGAUGCGCUCACACGUGAAUGCUGUUAUAACAUGUAAUUUCGUUUUAAGCAGUGGUUUUAUUUUGAAUUUAGAAAAGACAUUUUAUAUUACAAGUUUCUCUAGGAAUUUAACUUUAGUUCCAACACUUGUACCUUUAGGAUAUUCCUUUAAUUUUU